UACGUAGGGUGCAAGCGUUAAUCGGAAUUACUGGGCGUAAAGCGUGCGCAGGCGGUUUUGUAAGUCUGACGUGAAAUCCCCGGGCUCAACCUGGGAAUUGCGUUGGAGACUGCAAGGCUAGAAUCUGGCAGAGGGGGGUAGAAUUCCACGUGUAGCAGUGGAAUGCGUAGAGAUGUGGAGGAACACCGAUGGCGAAGGCAGCCCCCUGGGUCAAGAUUGACGCUCAUGCACGAAAGCGUGGGGAGCAAACAGG
rnacentral:rRNA from 1 species